CCAUUUGCCCGUCCACCGGCGUCGUCAGCAGAGCAGUGCCGGUGCUGCCCUCAGAGGCUGGGCAGGAGCAGCCGCGCAUGGCACCCCCAGAAGGUCAGGGGGGCCCCGCUCAGCAGGACCGUCAGGAGCAGGCAAGAAUAUCUGCCCAGCACCUGCUGCGCCCCACCGACCAGGGCCGGGAUGUCAGUCACAGGCCAGGCACAAUCACCGGGUCUCAGAAUCUCAGCCACGGCACGUGUUCAACCCCAGGUCCUGGCUGACUCGGCCACAGCUUGGGGCCCUUGUCCAGGCCAGCACUCCUUCCGGGACACCCCACACCCAGGGCAUAGCCAAGCGGCGACGCAGAGAAACUGGAGCCUGGAAGCCGUCGGCCGAGGAAGUGGCCAUGAUGACAGACAGAAAGCACAGAGUGAGCCUGGGCUCUGCUCCUCUCUGGGAUGGCCGGCAGGAAACGGCGGGGCCAGGAGAGGCAGCGGUGGGGGUUUGGGGUAAUUAACUGCCGAGCCCCGGAGGGCCGAGCCACAGUGAGAGGGGGUGCCCAGGACCCUCUGUGCUGUGUGCAGGCUCCAGGUCCCCUGCCGCUCCCACCUGGGCAGUGGAGGUUUUCUGGAUAUAGAUUCAUCACCCAGAAAGUUGUUCAUGCGAUUGGAAGAGCCCCGGGCGUCACUUCCUAAGGGAGUGGGGCCUUGGAUCAAAAUGCCACGGCCAAAUCUAGCCUCGAGCUCCCCACAGGACAGGCUGGGGCACUGGGUGUCAUGCUUGAGUGCCACACACCCUGCGGACACCGCUGAGGUCCCAGGGCCCAUGCUCCAGGCCCGGCACUGGGGUGACGCUGCUGUGUGUCCAUUUGCUAAGGAGCAUGUGGGUGGUCGGCAAGGGGGUUUGCAAAUGCCAGCUGCGUUGCCCCUGUCAGGACUGUUGCUGUGCAUCGGAAGAUCCUGUUCAGAUGUGGAACCAGCAUGGCCACCGGACGCUGCAGGCUGCCUCGGGCGCCUGCCCACAGCAGGUGUCUUUAUUCCCAUGUGUGUGGCCCCAACAGCACAGGCUGCUGGUGCUGGUCCAAGGGGCCAUCCUGGGGAAGUGGCCCUUCCUCAGCACUCCCUGGAGACAUCCUCGGAGAGGAUCCGGGUGUCAAGGAGCCCCAGGGACGCCCUGGAGGGUUUUCUCUGUACCGGUGGGGACGCUGGGUAUGAGACGAGAGGUACAGCUGGCGAGGAUGGGGUACCAGGGCCUGGAGGGGAAGGAGGAACCUUCCAGCUCACAUCAGUGUUGUCCCGGAUGCAGCCCAGAGGCCGGCUCCGCCAGCCUCCCAGGGCCCAGCGGAGGGCAGAGGCAGUGGCCAGCAUGUCUGUCCGUCUCCACUGCCCUUAGCCUUUCCGGCCUGGUUCUUGUCUGUCCACUGGCCACUGUGCACAGUGACCACGGGCAGCAGUGACGAAUGGCUGGUGUCAAGGCCUGUCAUGCCAGCGGGGUCCUGGGGGAAAUGCAAGGGACUCUCAAAACAGCUUUAUUACCAACCUGUGGCCGCAGGAUGAUCAAUCAAACUGAUCAGUGGUGGCAAGCGUGGUGAGGGAUGGGAGGCAGAUGCCGGCCUCUCAGUGUGGGCUCCACGCUGAACUUGACCCGUGUCUGACCCUUGUGCCUGUGUGCACCUUCCAUUCCCAGCCGGCUGGGGUGGCGGGGUGACGGGAAAGGUGGGCAGCCCAGGGGUCUGUCGGGCAGGCACAGGAGCUGCCGUUCAGGAGGAAGAGAGGCGGCCGGAAACUCGGGACCCUUCUUGGCUGUGGCCCGACUCGCGGGCCCUGGGAAGUGCCCGGACAGGGGUCCGACUGGGCUCUGUAGACAACGGGACAUGGACCCCAAGCUCCCGCAGGCCAGGGGCUGGGGCCCCUCGGGGACAGACACUGAAGGAGCCGAGGUCUUCUGGCUCCCGGCCAAGGUGGCUCUGGCCCUGGCUGGUCUCGGCCUCGUACCACCAGCGAGCGGGCUGGCUACCGCUGCAGGGGCCUGAGCUGUCCGGCUGCUUCCCGGCUUCCUUUCUUCUUCCUUCUUCCUGUCCUUUUUCCUUUCCUUUCCUCUUCCUUCUUCCCUUCCUUCCUUUCUUCUUUUCUCCCUUCCCUUCUUUUCUUCUUCCCUCCCUUCCUUCAGGGCCCCAGAGGCUCCUCCAAGGCUGGCUGCUGCCUGAGUGGCUGCCCAGCCAGGUCCCUGAGCUGGGACAGCCUGCAGAGAGCCCCUGGUGGGACUGGGUGGAGGAGAACCAGGCGGAGUGAACCAGACCCUUCUUGGGGAAGAGACUGCAGCACAGGAUCUUUUAGCCAGAUACACUGUGAGGAAAAAUAAACCUGCCUCCCAGAACGCAGCCUUCCAGCCACCCGUCCUUGGAGCACCUCGACUCUGGGCUUGGGCAGGUCCCGGCCGUGGGUGAUCAACACUGCCAGUGUCCGGAGACCAAAGCUGGGGAACGUAAGCAGCUCGGCAGCAUGAGGGGCUCUGUGGCGGGUGUGCUCCAGGGACACCCCAGGGACACCCCAGGGACACCGGGCCUCAGGAAAGGGAAGCCUUGUCGGGCACAAUGCAGUGGGCUCAGGAGGGACCUCGAGGCCCAGCCCCCACUCAAGGGCAGCCGCGGCCAGCUGUGCAGUGGGCACAGUGGCCGAAUCUCCUCUGCCCUCUGGUUGGUCUUGUGGACCAUGUGUCACCCUCAGCAAAUGGGCACCCCAAGCGCAGCAAAAGGCCCCUGGAGCCCACAGUGUCCUCCCUCACGGGGACCAGACGGGGUUCCAGAGGGAUGGGAGGUGGUAGGGCCAGAGGUGGCAUCCACUGUGCUCACGUGCCCCAAACUGCCACACCCCAAGCGCUGCCCUGUGCCAUGUCCCCACCCCCUGGACAGGCCCACCAAGCCCUUCCCGGCUCUCUCUGGGGGUCGUGCAGAAGGGCACGGGUGGUGGAGAGGCCUUGGAGGCAGCCGUGAACAGGGGCAUGGCAGGGUCUGUGGUGCCCGCGGAGGGCUCCCGCCACUUUCUCAUGCCCGGCACCCUUGCUCCUUCCCGGUAACUUGUUAGAGCGCCUGUCAAGCCCAGGGCUGACAGGCUGAUGUUACUCACUUGGCUGGAUUCUGGAAAACUCAGCCUCAUUUGCCAGGCAAAAUUAACGAGAAAAGAAAGCCCUAAACGAGAUAGUAAUUUAUGACUUCCACUGGGCCUGUCCCUCGGUCCCGGCGCAGAACGGCAGGUCUCAUCUGAAAACACUGCCCGCUGGAGAUGGGGCUGGCUCUGCCAAGUGUGCCCGAGGCCCACUGGAUCCUGGCCUCUCCCCGGAGGGGCCUUGGGGGACCUGCGGCUCCACAUUGCCAUCUACACAGUGGUAGCUCUUGGGGCACCAGGGGUUCACAAUACCCACUUCCAAAUCUCAAGCUCAAAAGAGUGCCCCAAGGGUGUUUAUGGAUCCUGCAUCCCCAGAGCAGGCGCCCAUGCCUGGCGCUGGCUGCUAAAGGACUGGGGCCCAGGACCCACAUCCCAGCGGGGCUUCUCCCUGCUCCAAGCCCUCGCUGCCACAGCCCCCCUCCAUACACACACAGGAGAAGAAUGUAACGGGAAAGCCAGCCAUGCAGCAGCAGCAGCAGCAAAAUAACCCUUUGCUAAUGGCUACCAAACUUGCUGAGUGUCACUUCUAGCUACUCUGUGCAGGGAGGGCGUGCAAUGAUCAUGCAGCUCACAGACAAGGCCUCUCUCCGGCAGGAGCCGACAUGACAGGGCCUGGAAGGCAGGUGCUACUGUAAUUAGCUAUUGUUUGACUAUCAAAAGUCAGGGCUGAUUAAAGCCACUAAGCACAAGUGCACUAUUUUAUUUCAAAGAAUAUUAUGAACUGCACGCUGAGGCCCUUUCAGAGCGGACCUUCCUUCCGCAGCCGGCUAAGAGCCCAUGCCAGCAGUAAUCAAACGCAAAAUCUGCAUAAACCUUCAGGGUUUAAUUCAAGCAGAGACCUUUCAUUAGAAAUAUGUUACUUUAUGAAAUCUGGUCGCCAGCAAGGGGAGAAAAAUGUGACUUCUUAAGAAAAGUGAAUGGCACCUCUUUAGUGAUUAACCCAAGAUUAAUGGAGGCCCCCACUGCUCGGCCUAAGUCCGUUUUAUUGCUAAUUCAUUUAGGUACCAUUUCAGAUACGCCUGAUGAAAGUUACCUGCCAGGGCGUCAGGUUUUGGCAAGCGAGGAUAGCCAUUAUGGGCA